AUGGAGGUCAGCCAUCUGUCUUGCCAGCAACUCCACCUGCCUGCCCCAUCCUGUCGGCAUGGCACUUCUUUCUCUGUCAUCUGUUCAGAAAGAGCAUUGAUAAGCAUGUCAGGCUCUGCCAUGUCCUCAGCUGAAGGACACCAUUCUGAGGAGGAAGAUGGAACUGUACUGCAUGUCACCUGGUGCCAGUCAUGUGAGGCUGUGCUCUCUGUAUUGUACACGUGCAGACUACACCAGUGUUACUGUUGACAAAUAAUUGCAGUAAAGUGAUAACAUAUUAAACAUGUCAGCUUUUCUUCACCCUCUUCUGAGCCCAUGGUAAGUCAAAUUGUAAGCUUGAGACUGUUCCAAAAGAGAUGUGGUUGUUUGAUACAGAAUUGCUGUCUUCAAAAAGACAUCACUCAGGAACAAACCCCCAGGUAGGACCAGCCUGUCCAGCAGGGUGGGACCUCCCUCUCCACUACCUCCUGUGCUCCUCUGGCUGCCCAGGGCUCUGGGCUCUACCACUGUCCUCCAAGUCCUAGAGCCAUGCUGAGGAUAGACAGUACUCAGGCCUAGGGACAAGGCUUCUGAGCAUACUCAGUAUUUUUCUGGGUUCCCAAUCCUGUAGGGCAUCAGAUCAGGGUGAGGAGACCUCACAGGCCCGUGUCAUUUACAAACGGGGAACUGUCUUCAAAGGGUGUGGCUGGGCCUGGAGUCAUGGCACAGAGCCAGCUUGGAAAACACAAGGUACAAGUGCAUUGGCAUCCUGUGUUCCUGUCACAAAGCUAUGACACUGAGGCACUGUGGUCCCUGUCUAAGGGAGAGAUAGGAGGAGUCAAAGUCCCUGACACCUGAACCUCCCUGUCUUGUUGUUAGCUGAUACUUGGGGCCCCCCACUUGGGAUACGAGCUCUUCUAGUCAUCUGUAGACCUGGUGACAGAAUACCUUAGUAGAGGCAGCUGGUAACAUCACAGAGGGC
rnacentral:lncRNA from 1 species